GCACUGCUGAGGAGUCCCACAACAGAACGAAACGGUCGUCCAGUGC
rfam:Schistosoma rodhaini strain Burundi genome assembly, scaffold: SROB_scaffold0009791